UGAUGAGUGCCAGAGGAGCUCUGGGGCUGUGUCUCCCACACAGAGCUGUGUCUACAACUUCCCCAAGAGGAACCUCAGCCCCUCUGAUGCUGGGACUUACUACUGUGCUGUGGCCACCUGUGGGGAGAUCCUGUUUGGGAACGGGACCAAGCUGAAUGUUGAGGGAGGUGAAUUAUCCACGCUUGUCUGGCUCUCGAUCAUACGGACUGGAGUUCUCUGUUGCAUGUUGCCCAUAUUUGUCCUCAUCUAUUGCAAAAAGGCAUAAAUAAUGAUGAUAUUAUGGGAUUCAUACCAUUAAAUCAGCGAAUCAUAUUCAUAUUAA